AUAUCUCCAGUUUUGUUGUUCUGGCAGUCUAAAGCAAACUCCACAACUUCUGCAUUUUCUUCAUCCUUGGUGCCUCUGAAGAACAAAGCAGUAUGUCAGAUGACGAGACAUAUCAUAUUCUUUUGCAUAAAGCGAUGCCAUGGACACAGCGUGAAUGCAAUCACAUACUGCACUUUCAAAGCAACCAGAAGCCAGGAACAACACGGGUUUGCAUGCAGGGAAAAAGGAGUUCUAAACACGGGGUUUGGUGUGUGCUGCAGCAAAGCUGCAAGGGUUCUAGGAUGCUGAAGAACAUGCUCUCAGAGAUUUUUAACACAUAGCGGGAAUGGGGUCCUAUAAGUCGUCUAAUGCCAGUCGUUUGAAAUGUGAUGCAUGUAUGUAUGAAUGUAUUUUGUCCUUGUAAACAUAUUGUUCUGUGGAAACCAGGAGUCAUGAGUCAAAGCCUUUGUUUCUGGACGAGCUGGGUCACUUAUCGAUCUGGUGCGAUGACAAUCUGGUUCUAAUUGGGUCACAUUAAUCUGUGAAGGGACUGAUCUGUCACCCCUCUGCUAAGUUUUUCUUGCUUUUUUUUGUUUAUUUUUGAAGUAGUUGUCAUGUAACUUUGCCAAGUUUCUUAAAUGGAGCUGGGAAUCACCUUGUAUAUGUAAAAAGAAAAAAGAAACAGUUAACUUGAAUGAACAUCGAAAACAACAACAAUGCCAUUUUAGGA